rnacentral:rRNA from 1 species
AUGAACGCUGGCGGCGUGCCUAAUACAUGCAGGUCGAGCGAACAGACGAGGAGCUUGCUCCUCUGACGUUAGCGGCGGACGGGUGAGUAACACGUGGAUAACCUACCUAUAAGACUGGGAUAACUUCGGGAAACCGGAGCUAAUACCGGAUAAUAUAUUGAACCGCAUGGUUCAAUAGUGAAAGACGGUUUUGCUGUCACUUAUAGAUGGAUCCGCGCCGCAUUAGCUAGUUGGUAAGGUAACGGCUUACCAAGGCAACGAUGCGUAGCCGACCUGAGAGGGUGAUCGGCCACACUGGAACUGAGACUCGGUCCAGACUCCUACGGGAGGCAGCAGUAGGGAAUCUUCCGCAAUGGGCGAAAGCCUGACGGAGCAACGCCGCGUGAGUGAUGAAGGUCUUCGGAUCGUAAAACUCUGUUAUUAGGGAAGAACAAAUGUGUAAGUAACUAUGCACGUCUUGACGGUACCUAAUCAGAAAGCCACGGCUAACUACGUG